rnacentral:rRNA from 1 species
AUGUCACAUUUUUGGUGGGGUGAUGACGACAACCAUAGGAGGAUGCAUUGGAUGGCAUGGUGAAAAAUGUGUGUCCCAAAAAACCAAGGUGGUAUGGGAUUUUGUGAUAUUCAUUGUUUUAACUUUGCCUUAGUGGCUAAACAGGCUUGGCGUCUUCUUGAUAACCCAGAUUCUUUAUGUGCAAGGAUAUUGAGAGCCAAAUAUUUUCCUGAUGGAUAUUUAUUGAAUGCAAAGCUUAAAAAGGGAUCUUCUUUAUCACAUGGCAAAGUAUUAUUACGGGCGUUAGUACUCUGA